GCUGUAGUAGUGUAGUGGUUAUCAUUCUAGCCUUCCACCUCUUUGGAGCAAGCUUGAGACCGGCGUUCGAUUCGCCGUUACAGCA